rnacentral:rRNA from 1 species
GCUCAAAUUUGAAAUCUUAAAGGGUUUCCCUUUACGAAUUGUAGUUUAAAGAAGUGUUUUCUGUUGAGGUUUUGGCAAAAGUUCUUUGGAAUAGGACAUCAUAGAGGGUGAGAAUCCCGUACUUGACCUUUACUUUCAACUUUGUGAUACACUUUCAAAGAGUCGGAUUGUUUGGGAAUGCAGUCCAAAAUGGGUGGUAAAUUUCAUCUAAAGCUAAAUAUUGGCGAGAGACCGAUAGCGAACAAGUACCGUGAGGGAAAGAUGGAAAGAACUUUGAAAAGAGAGUUAAACAGUACGUGAAAUUGUCAAAAGGGAAGCGUUUGACACCAGUGUUGUUUUUCUGAAAAUCAAUUAAAGAACUGUUUAUGCUAAGCUGUUUAGACUUUAUCAGCUAUCUGUUUAGUUUUGAGCUUUUCUUUAAUGCACUUUUCAGUUAACAAG